AACGUAGGUGGCGAACGUUAUCCGGAUUUACUGGGCGUAAAGAGUGCGCAGGCGGCUUUUCAAGUCGGAUGUAAAAUCUCCUGGCUUAACUGGGAGGGACCAUCCGAUACUGUUGAGCUUGAGUGCAACAGAGGAGAGUGGAAUUCCCGGUGUAGUGGUGGAAUGCGUAGAUAUCGGGAGGAACACCAGUGGCGAAAGCGGCUCUCUGGGUUGUUACUGACGCUGAUGCACAAAAGCGUGGGGAGCAAACAGG
rnacentral:rRNA from 1 species